GAGUUUGAUCCUGGCUCAGGACGAACGCUGGCGGCGUGCUUAACACAUGCAAGUCGAGCGGUAAGGCCCUUCGGGGUACACGAGCGGCGAACGGGUGAGUAACACGUGGGUGAUCUGCCUUGCACUCUGGGAUAAGCCUGGGAAACUGGGUCUAAUACCGGAUAUGACCUUCGGUUGCAUGACCGGGGGUGGAAAGAUUUAUCGGUGCAAGAUGAGCCCGCGGCCUAUCAGCUUGUUGGUGGGGUAAUGGCCUACCAAGGCGACGACGGGUAGCCGGCCUGAGAGGGCGACCGGCCACACUGGGACUGAGACACGGCCCAGACUCCUACGGGAGGCAGCAGUGGGGAAUAUUGCACAAUGGGCGGAAGCCUGAUGCAGCGACGCCGCGUGAGGGAUGACGGCCUUCGGGUUGUAAACCUCUUUCGACUCCGACGAAGCGAGAGUGACGGUAGGAGUAUAAGAAGCACCGGCCAACUACGUGCCAGCAGCCGCGGUA
rnacentral:rRNA from 1 species